rnacentral:lncRNA from 1 species
CUCCAACUAAAAGAGCACGGGCAGAAUGCUUCCUCUUAGCCAGUGGUUUCCAAACUUGAAUGUAAAUCAAAAUCACCUGAGGGCUUAUUAAGCCACAUUGCUGAUGCAUUUCUGACUCAGUGGGUCUGGGCCCGCCUUCCUAGCAAGCAACCAGGUGAUGCUGAUAAACUGCUGGUCAGGGACUCAUGUUGAAAACCACAGCUCCAGAUCACAUAGACAUCUGUACCAAAGAAGCGACGAGGGCACAGACAAAUUCCAUUAUAAUAGCCAUCUUUAUUUGUAAAAAUCCAG